GUGAGGAAUAUUGGUCAAUGGGCGAGAACCUGAACCAGCCAAGUCGCGUGAAGGAAGAAGGAUCUAUGGUUCGUAAACUUCUUUUGCAGGGGAAUAAAGUGCAGGACGUGUCCUGUUUUGUAUGUACCCUGAGAAUAAGGAUCGGCUAACUCCGUGCCAGCAGCCGCGGUAAUACGGAGGAUCCGAGCGUUAUCCGGAUUUAUUGGGUUUAAAGGGUGCGUAGGUGGUUUGAUAAGUCAGCGGUGAAAGUUUGCAGCUUAACUGUAAAAAUGCCGUUGAAACUGUCGGACUUGAGUGUAAAUGAGGUAGGCGGAAUGCGUGGUGUAGCGGUGAAAUGCAUAGAUAUCACGCAGAACUCCGAUUGCGAAGGCAGCUUACUAAGCUACAACUGACACUGAAGCACGAAAGCGUGGGGAUCAAACAGGAUUAGAAACCCCGGUAGUCC
rnacentral:rRNA from 1 species